UACGUAGGGGGCAAGCGUUGUCCGGAUUUAUUGGGCGUAAAGAGCGUGUAGGCGGCCAUGUAGGUCCGUUGUGAAAACUCGAGGCUCAACCUCGAGACGCCGAUGGAAACCAUGUGGCUAGAGUCCGGAAGAGGAGAGUGGAAUUCCUGGUGUAGCGGUGAAAUGCGCAGAUAUCAGGAGGAACACCGGUGGCGAAGGCGGAUCUCUGGCCCGAUACUGACGCUGAGGCACGAAAGCGUGGGGAGCAAACAGG
rnacentral:rRNA from 1 species